rnacentral:rRNA from 1 species
AUUGAACGCUGGCGGCAUGCCUUACACAUGCAAGUCGAACGGUAACGCGGGGCAACCUGGCGACGAGUGGCGAACGGGUGAGUAAUGCAUCGGAAUGUGCCCAGAAGUGGGGGAUAGCCCGGCGAAAGCCGGAUUAAUACCGCAUGAGACCUGAGGGAGAAAGCGGGGGAUCGCAAGACCUCGCGCUUUUGGAGCGGCCGAUGUCAGAGUAGCUAGUUGGUGGGGUAAAGGCCUACCAAGGCGACGAUCUGUAGCUGGUCUGAGAGGACGACCAGCCACACUGGGACUGAGACACGGCCCAGACUCCUACGGGAGGCAGCAGUGGGGAAUUUUGGACAAUGGGCGCAAGCCUGAUCCAGCCAUGCCGCGUGCGGGAAGAAGGCCUUCGGGUUGUAAACCGCUUUUGUCAGGGAAGAAACGCUCUGGGCUAAUACCCUGGGGUAAUGACGGUACCUGAAGAAUAAGCACCGGCUAACUACGUGCCAGCAGCCGCCGUAA